rnacentral:rRNA from 1 species
CCCUUAGAUGUCCUGGGCUGCACGCGCGCUACACUGAUGUGUCCAGUAAGCACCUAACCUCUUCCGAAAGGAACGGGUAACCUUUGCAAAGCACAUCGUGAUGGGGAUAGAUUAAUGCAAUUAUUAGUCUUGAACGAGGAAUUCCUAGUAAGCACAAGUCAUCAGCUUGUGUUGAUUACGUCCCUGCCCUUUGUACACACCGCCCGUCGCUCCUACCGAUUGAAUGUUCCGGUGAGCUCUUCGGACUGCGCGGUCUGCAGUUUCUGCGUUCCGUGCGGAAAGUUGCGCAAACCUUAACAUUUAGAGGAAGGAGAAGUCGUAACA